UACGGGGGGUGCGAGCGUUGUCCGGAAUCACUGGGCGUAAAGGGCGCGUAGGUGGUCUGAUAAGGGUGUGGUGAAAGCCCGGGGCUCAACCCCGGGUCGGCCGUACCGACUGUUAGACUAGAGUGCUGUAGGGGCAGGCGGAAUUCCGGGUGUAGCGGUGGAAUGCGUAGAGAUCCGGAGGAAGACCGGUGGCGAAGGCGGCCUGCUGGGCAGUUACUGACACUGAGGCGCGACAGCGUGGGGAGCAAACAGG
rnacentral:rRNA from 1 species